UACGGGGGGGGCAAGCGUUGUUCGGAAUUACUGGGCGUAAAGGGUUUGUAGGUGGCUUGCUAAGUCAGACGUGAAAUCCCUCAGCUUAACUGGGGAACUGCGUCUGAGACUGGCAAGCUCGAGUGCAGGAGAGGAACGCGGAAUUCCAGGUGUAGCGGUGAAAUGCGUAGAUAUCUGGAGGAACACCGGUGGCGAAGGCGGCGUUCUGGACUGCAACUGACACUGAGGAACGAAAGCCAGGGGAGCAAACGGG
rnacentral:rRNA from 1 species